CUCGGUGAAGUUUAUUUGUUGGGGCCUCAGUGCCAGAGCUUAGGAGGGAGGGAAAUGGGUUUUCUGGUGACUUUCCCUUUUUUUUGGACCCGGAUUGGAGAGGUUUACCUCCCCCAUCUCCCAAGGACUGCUCCAGACUGAGAGGACCCUGCCAACAGGAAUCGCCUGGCCCCUCCAGCCUCUUUGGCUUCUUGCACUCCAUUUCUUAAAGUGAGUCCGAAUCACACAACCAGCGUCAAUUCGCCGCGUUUUCCAGGAAAACGUUUGAAUCCGCAGCACUGAUUUCAUACUUAGAAGUCAGUAGGAGUUUUGAAAUUUUUGUAAAAUACCACCUGGAUGAUUUAUUGUCCGUCUAGGCCAGAUUAGCAAACCCCACACGCAUACUCAAUGUUUAAAUCACACCCCAGAACCCGGAGAAAACGUUUCAAUAGGGAUCGACACGCAACAGAGGAAAACUGGAGCACUAAUUAUUUCUCUUUUUUGAUUUCCUGUUUCUAAAAAAAGCAUUGGUAUCAAGGACGAGUUAGGUAAUGUGAACUACAAGGCUAGCAGGUCGCUGUCAUUUAAGCACAAUCACAGUUCGUAGUUCAAGGAAAACUGCCUUUAAUUGACACCGUGUAUAUAUUCUUCUGCUCCUCUCGGCUGCCCAGGCAGGGACGCCCCCAAGAGUAUUUAUUUCUAGGGCUGGAAACAAAACAACUAACCCGGUCUGCUGCGUAAGAGAGCGUUCCAAGAUGGACUGCCGGAGAAAGGCUUUUUGACCCCAGUGGAAAUUAGUCAUAUUGACAGACUCCCGGGGAAGGUAAAUUACACCGCGCGCUGACGUUACGCAGAAGCGCGCCCGGUUGCGACUCCGCCUCGGCGCCCGCGGGGCCAGAGGCUCAGUUGGUUUCUCCAAAAUUCGGACAAAGCCCCACUCUGCUUUUCUAAGGAGAUGAAGAGAGCGGUAAAAGAUGCUGGAGAGAAAAGAGACAAGAAAAAAACGAAACAUGGACAGGAGGAGAAGUGCUGUGCGCCCUUGGCGCGGGCAAGCUGAAGGUUUCUGCCCUUCCUUCCUCUUCUCUCUUCCGCCCUCGGCCCAGGCACCUGGGAACACGUGGAACUCCCCAGUUAAGAGGAUCCUGGGGUACGGAUAAGUGGGGUCUGGAGGUCCCAGCAAGAUCGGAGUGCGGCGCGCCUUUCACCCUCUCUCCCGGCCUAGGCACCCUGGGGAGGAGACGGGAGUGGGGGAGGAAUCUCCGUCGCCUCGGAGGAGUUUCACACGAAGCGACCUGGAGUAUCUGGAGAAGGUUUUUGAAGACGUUUAGGAGGGAGGGAGGUUCUCUGCUGAGAAACUCAAUCUGCCAUACAGUAGCGGCCCCAUCUGGGAUCUGUCACAGCUGACAGCACCACAGGGCACAGCCGUGAUCUUCUGCACAGCCUGCACUCCCCGAAAUACCCUCCUUAAUCAAAGGAUGUCUGCGCGCCUGGGCUCAGCUGACCGGGAGCAGAGAGCCGGCAAAUUCCACCCCCUCCCCGCCCGCCUCCUCCCCACGGACACAGCCCCGGCCCCUCUCGUCUUCCCAGCACAUUAAUUAAAAGCGGAAAAGAGACUGAAGCUGAUGUCAUUGCUCUCAGAAGAUCAUAAACGUAAAAGAGUCAUCCUGUGAGAAUCCCUGAAAAAGACUUUAAUGAAUAAUUUCAGAGACAGUUAUGGCUUUGGGUGAUUACUGAGAGAGAAUAUGAAAACCAGAUUUGGAAAGCGAAGACGAUGGUCAGGCGGCUCGGCGGCUACUUUCUCCCAGUAAAACCGCACCAGUUUUCUUCCAUGGCCAAGUUCUAGUUACAGACUUAGCUUGCGUUUUCUUCUUUUCAAAUAAAAGCAACAAACACACAGUUUUUGUUUCCUGC
rnacentral:lncRNA from 1 species